GGGAAGGUGGCUCAGUGGUAGAGUGCUUGCCUAGCAUGCAGGAAGUCCCGGGUUCAAGUCCUCAGUACCA
rnacentral:tRNA from 1 species